ensembl:lncRNA
AUUUCUUUUAGUUUUCUUUCCUUCUCUUUUCUUUCUUUCUUCCUUCCUUCUUUCCUUUCUUCCUUCCUUCCUUCCUUUUUUAAGACAGGGUUUUACUGUGGAGCUCUAGUUUUCCUGGAACUCGAUCUUUUGACCAGUAUGGCCUUGAACUCAUAGGGAUCUGCCUGCCUCUGUCCCACAAAUGGUAGGAUUAAACACAAGGCAUGCACCAUCACUGACUGGCUAGAAUUACUUCUUUACUUUGUAUUUUUGACAUCCUGAUUGUAUGUCACAGAGAAUUUCUUCUCUGAUUCUGUCUGUUUGGAUUUUGAUGUGGCUGUUAUACUUGCAAGCUUAAUUAUUUCUAUAAAUUUGUGAUGAUUUCUGCUAGAAUUAAACUGAAAUAUAAGUCUGUCUCAUCCAUUCGAUGUUACUUUGGCUCUUCCCUGCUAUACCCCAUGAAUUCUUAGGUUUGGAAUCUUUAAUGUGUCCCAGGAUCUUUGGAAUAUUGUUUAUGCUUCUUAUUUUCCCUCUUGUCCUCUAUGCCUGAGAUUUGUUCUUUUGCAUGAUCUUAUCUCUUUCUUUUCUUUUCUUUUCUUUUCUUUAUUUUUGGAGGUGGGGACUGAACCCAGUAAUCUUAUCUCUUAAUGACAGUCUUUGUUGUGGUUUCUACCAGUUUGACCAUUCUCUUCAAAUAUUUUUAUUAGUUUACUUUUCAAAGUUUCAAUCUCCUUCCAAAGAUUUUCCUCCAUAUUUUGAAAUUCUACUACUGUUCUCUUAACUAUUACGUUUACUUUUGAGGCUGUCUGGACAAGGUUUUACAUAUAUUUCCUUAAUUCAUGAAUGUAUUUGACUCCUUAUGAUCAUCAAUUCUUUUGAAUAGUAAGGCUGUAAAUUCUUUCUUGGACAUUUCAAUUAUUUCUGUAUUGGAUACUUUGGUUUCUAUAACUUAGAUCUGCAUCCAGUCCAGCUAUGAUGACUGGGGGAAUUUGACUUUGAUUUCAGAUGAGUGACUUAGGCAAUCUAGUCCUCGCUAUGUGCCAACAGGAUCAAGCAUGGGGAAACACCUUAAGCACCAAGGUGACCAGAUGGAGUCAAAAGUUUGGUCACCCCCAGAUUUUACAAACCUGUCGGAGACUGGAUACCCAAUUCGACUUUCAACUCAAAGGGAGCCCAGCAGGAGGCUCUGCUCUCCAGAGUCAGCAGAAAUGGCAUGCAUCAGCAACACUGAGCCAGGAGAUGGAGACAGGAAUUCAGUGUGCUAGCUAGCUGGUGGCCUUAGGAUGUGGCUUAUGCUCUACAGUGGCUCCUGUUGCGCUGAGACAGAGCAGAAACAGAUGCCGAUUAAGGUCCUUGCAGGAAGAAGAGAGGAACCUGGUAGCUAGUUUGGUCCAAGCAAGGUGCUUUCCCUGUGCUCUGCUGGAGGCAUAAACUCCGUGAACUGAAAAUAGCCAAGAAAACAACUAUAAUUUCCUCCUUGCUUCCUACAAAGGAUUGAACAAAAAUGCUCAGGCCCUCCCGGGCGAUCAUAAAGAAGUUUAAAAUUUCAAAUAUUAUUAAAUACGACAGAAGAUGGUACUGGGUCUUCUGGAAAUGGAAUGGUUUUGAGCCACCUGAUUUGUAUGCUAGGAACUGAACUCCGGUCCUCUGUAAAAUCAGCAAGAACUCUCAACUCCUGAGCUGCUUCUUGCUGUUUUAAUGGUGAUUCAAACAUUGAAGAGGAAAGUUUCUGAGCAGCGGUCCACAGAACUUUCUCAAACUGAGCAGAACUUUGGAGUAGAAGGUUUUGGUAGGAAGGCAUCAUCCCAAAAUGUCAUCAGAAUUGGAGGAACUCAAAUUUGAAAUCCAGAAGUGUAAAUUCGAGAGGCAUGAACUUUAUCAAAUCCUGGACCUUUAUAUCUAUGAUGAUUGGGACUACAGGCUGGAUGUUUAAUUGCCAAUACUUCAAUCUGAACAUGCGAUGAGAAUGACGGCUAUGCAAAUGAUAACCAACUCAAUAAGUGAUGCCAUGGAGAGGUACAAGGAGCUCAUAUGAGUGAACAGUUUCUACCGCAUCAGGCACUCCCAGCUCCUGUGUGAACAAACUCAAUUGAAGAACCAUAUACAGAUUUUGCUGAAUGAGAACAGAGAACUGCUGGUGGAGCAGUCUGAACUGCCAGCAUCCUAUUUGGAGGCAAAGGGGUUCUGUGAAGAGUCCAGAAUGAACAUCUGUGUCCCCAGUGCCAAGCAACAGUAGGCUUUCGCCCGAUUCUCGGUACAGUGUCGGUGCUGGCGCCGACAAAUGGAGGUCCCACUGAGAUUGGAGAAGAAAGGGGUACCACCUACGGGACGUCCCUGGAGCCCGGCCGGCAUAGGAGAAGGGACGGAUUGGGGUAAGAUGGGCCAGAAAAGGCCUGGAUGAUUUGGGCUAGCCUCAGUAAAUCUUGUCAUAAAAAAGGGACAAGGUAACGGUAAAGUGUUUUUGCAUUUGCGUUCUGUUAGAGUUUUAUUUUAGUCUUUGGACCCUGUCUAGAGAUAGUUUACACCCUAGACAUGAGAGAGAAUGGGUUUGGGAAAAACAGUCCUCCCGGACUAUCCGCGGUUGCUUUGGAGAAAGAGAAAAACCUUUUCAGAGCUCUCCUAGGAACAGAGGGAAAGCAGGAGACGUCCUGCCUCUCUGCUGGCUCCUAUUGGAGAAAUGCUUAUUUCUGGUUCUGGGUUCCAUAGGUAGGAUAUGUGAGUCCCUUCGGUGGGACACCAUCUAGUUUUUUCCCUUUAUGUCUAUUGUCUGUCCUUGGUGCACCAAGCUGUCCAUGUCUGUCAGUUUAUGUCUGUGGUUUUUGUUUCUCUUGUUUAAAUGUUUUAUGUUUCAUGUUCAAAAGAAAAAAUGGUAAAAACUUUAUCUGUCAAUCGUUCACAUCUUGAUUUGGUUUUAACUCAUUUCAAAAAGGAAAAAAUGAAUAAAAAGCAGUUUCAAUCGGCCUUUAGAGCCCUGCACCUGUAGCUAGGAGCAUAGGUCAGCUGGAGAAGCUGCCCGGGGGUGAGCGUCUACAUGAGCUGAUCUUAAAGGCGCCAGCAGCUCCUCAGCUUCUAUGUUAAGGGAGCGGAUGGUUGUUUCUCUUAGAAAAAUCCCUGACUUAUUCUUAGCAGGUGACAAGGUGCAUCUCUUAAUAUUACAGCUAGAAAAAGUAAAAAUGGUGCUUGGUCUAAAUAUUAAAGAUAUGUGUAGCCACUUCAAUUUUGUUUCUUAUUGGUUUUAAAUGUAUAAAUAUGCUCUACAUGCCUUGGUUAUAGACUAUUGGCUUUUAAGUUAUAGGAUAUGGUUAAAAAGGUAUAAUGUCAGUAACAAAAAGUUGACAUAAAGCUGGUAAUUUGGAUAAAGUCAUUCUAGACAACAUGCGGCCUGAGCCAACCUAGGGAAAUAGGUCUAAAUUGAGAAAAUAUUUUUAUGGAACUCUUAUUCUAGAAACCAGGCUUCUAAAAGAAUUUAGGACAAUGUCUCUUUGUUGAGGUAUUGGAGACCGCACCAUCGUGCACUCAUAUGUAGGAAUUGGCAGUCAAACUUUGUAGCAUGAAGGAUAGACUCGGUGUUUUGGAGACUGGAUUUUGGAGACUAGAUUGUUAGAGGUUGAGUUUUGCUUUCUAAAGUUGUGGUUUGCCCUGAAGUUAUCUGUAUUUUAAUGCUAAUUCCACUGCCCCAAGGACAGCUGCCUAGUCAUGUACUCAGAGCUCUGGUGACUUCCCAAAGUUGUGGUUGUGCUCUGGUGUUUCAAGGAGAAUUUAAGGAUUGUGAUUAAGAAUUGCCAGUGUUACAUUGACUAACUCAAACUUAUUUAUAAUUGAGAAAAAAAUCAAACAGGUAGAGAUUUUUACAAGAUUUACAAAGGAUUGAUGAGGUUUUAGAACUUGUGAGAGCAUUACAGCCUGUUUGCUUACUUCAACCGCCAUUUCAACAUAGAUUUAGAGGAUUGCUGACAGCCUUGUAUUAUGUAAUUUUGUCGCUUCUUCAAUGUAAAAAGUUAGAACUUUAAAUCUUUCAGUGUAUAUGGAAAUUUUUACUACAAAUCUUUGCUCUCAAAAUGAGCUUUAAUAUUUGGGGAAUAGCUGUUACACUACUCCAGAAAAGAAUAUUUAAAACUAAUUUUAAGCUUCUAAGGAUAUGUUAAUUGCCAAAGUACCUCACCUUACCAGAGGACUUAACUUUGUUUUCCUCAUUGGAGAUAAAGCUUCAGUUGUGUUAAUACAGAAUUGUAGGCUAGAGUCAUGGAAGUAUUUUAAAAAGAAACCUGGUGAAACAUACCUUAUUCAAACAUCAAUCAAAUUGGUUAUUACAAAAUACUGAUAUUUGGCCUAUCACUUAUACAAAUUUUUCAGGCAAAAUUGAUAAUUUUACUCUUUGCAUGCUUUUGGAUUUACUGUAAAUUUCUUCAUGCAACCCAUAGAAAAUGCACUUACUGUAUUUAUAGGUGUUUCAUCUAAUGAAAAGGCUACAUUUAUGAUUGGAUCACUUGUUUAUUCUCUUGAGUUUCCGCUGCUUCAGCACAGAUUAUUAGAUUACGUGCUGUAGCCACUGUUUUUAAAUGUUAAAAAAUCAAGCUUUCAAUUCAUAUACAGAUAGCCAAUGUGUGGCUUGUGGUUUACAAUUGAUUUCAAUUACUUAAUACUUUACUAGAGGCAAGUUUUCUAUAUGAAAUCAAUGAGUGAUGAUUUCAGUGUAAAUUGUCUUGACAACUCACUGUCCUUUCAGUGCUCUGGCUCAGAGAACUAAACAAAACCAUAGACCCAGCUCUUUGAAAAUGGUAAUGGAGUUGCUAACACACCCUCACGAAAAGAGGAAGACUCCACUUGCUUACUUUCAAUGCCCAGCCUCACCCUGCCAACUCAGGGAUUUCUAAAUAAGGCUAAAUCUGGACCUUGUUUACAGGAUUUGACAUUUCUAAUUAAUGCUUAUGUUUAGGCAAAUAAAGCUGGUGAGGGGCUGGAGAGAUGGCUUAGUGGUUAAGAGCACUAAGUACUGUUCCUUUAUAGGCCGUUUAAGAACUCAAACUGGAUUGCCUGGACCCCUUAGCAAGGGAGGACAAUGAUACCAGGCAGAUUAUAGGCCUUACAUAGAAACAAUUAGUCAAAAAAAUAUCAUUCUUUAUAUCACCAAAACAAUAAUUUGGUAAACAAGUCAAUUUAUAAAUACAAGUGCUCAGUGUCCUCAAUUUAAUCCUCGAGGACUUAUCUUAAUAAAUAAUAUUUUAACAAAAUUUCAAUAAAUAAAAAGGGGGAGUUAUCCCUGUAUGCUAAAUAAUACUCUUUUUAUUUCAAUUUUAAAAUUUGAAUGCCAAGGUUUAUGGCACCAUACAACUAGGCAUACUUCUGCCUAGGUGAAAUAGAAAGAUCCACAUAUUGGCAUGAUUCUGUCCAGGUAUUUUAUAUGGGGAAGCGGGAAUCUUUGUGUUUUUUCUACAGGAUGCUACAGGAGUGUGCCAGCUGCCUGAGUGGCUGGUGAGACAUGCUGAUCCUGGGAGCAUGAAGAUUCAGCUCUCAUGGUUCGGGUUCCUGGAGUCAUUCCUGUGCCCUUAGAGGAAGACGGAGGAUUCCCCCUCAUUUUUUGUCAUCACAGAAAUUCUGGUGUUGCUGCAGUCAUUGUGUCCCGUCCCACUGCGGCCUGCGUUCCAACCCUCUGUGCACUGCUGAUUGCUGGAGAAGACUGGACUCCAGCUGUUACCCCUGCCUCCCUCAUUCCCCUGGUGACUCUUGCUGCCUUGACUGGUGUUGUUAUCUUGCAGUCUGUAGCUUCACAGGAAUGCCAUCUGUGUGAAGCUGCUGUGGACUGGGGAACUCUGCCCUGGUUGUGCAGAUCUCAGAAAUGGUUCCAUUGUCUG